CCACCAGCCACCAAUGCUCAUUAAGGAAAUGCAAAAACCUUAGAGGAGGGGAUAUUUUUGCACAGCGAAUUUGUUUUGCUUCACCUUUUACAAAGAGAUUUCAGAGCAGCCAUUCCAGGAUCAGAUUUCUUUGGGAGAGAGAAGACCCAGUGAUCAUUUCUCCACAAUCCAUUUACUGUGCAAAGCAUUGGAUUUCUACAGGCCUUCUGACGAUGCUCUGCUUCUGUUGCAAACAUAGCGCAUUUCGCACAAACCAAAGUAAUUUGUGGCUGGGGUGCGGGGAGGUUAUUUACCCACCCCAACAGACAGGAUAUUUAUUGCUGUUGUGAUUGUCAUGUGGAUUGUGGUUCUGGGUCAUGGG